rnacentral:rRNA from 1 species
UACGGGGGGGGCAAGCGUUGUUCGGAAUUACUGGGCGUAAAGGGCUCGUAGGCGGCCAACUAAGUCCGACGUGGAAUCCCCAGGCUUAACCUGGGAACUGCGUCGGAUACUGGAUGGCUUGAAUUCGGGAGAGGGAUGCAGAAUUCCAGGUGUAGCGGUGAAAUGCGUAGAUAUUUGGAGGAAUACCGGUGGCGAAGGCGGCAUCCUGGACCGACAUUGACGCUGAGGAGCGAAAGCUAGGGGAGCAAACGGG